rnacentral:rRNA from 1 species
AUUGAACGCUGGCGGCAGGCUUAACACAUGCAAGUCGAGCGAGCGGCGGACGGGUGAGUAAUGUCUGGGAAACUGCCUGAUGGAGGGGGAUAACUACUGGAAACGGUAGCUAAUACCGCAUACCAUCGGAUGUGCCCAGAUGGGAUUACCUAGUAGGUGGGGUAAAGGCUCACCUAGGCGAAGAUCCCUAGCUGGUCUGAGAGGAUGACCAGCCAGACUGGACAGGAGACACGGGCCAGACUCCUACGGGAGGCAGCAGUGGGGAAUAUUGCACAAUGGGCGCAAGCCUGAUGCAGCCAUGCCGGGGGUAUGAAGAAGGCCUUAGGGUUGUAAAGUACUGUCAGCGGGGAGGCGUUACCCGCAGAAGAAGCACCGGCUAACGACGGGCCAGCAGCCGCGGUAAUUC